rnacentral:rRNA from 1 species
UGGGGAAUAUUGGACAAUGGGGGCAACCCUGAUCCAGCAAUGCCGCGUGUGUGAAGAAGGUCUUCGGAUUGUAAAGCACUUUCGACGGGGACGAUGAUGACGGUACCCGUGGAAGAAGCCCCGGCUAACUUCGUGCCAGCAGCCGCGGUAAUACGAAGGGGGCUAGCGUUGCUCGGAAUGACUGGGCGUAAAGGGCGUGUAGGCGGUUUACACAGUCAGAUGUGAAAUCCCCGGGCUUAACCUGGGAGCUGCAUUUGAUACGUGUAGACUAGAGUGUGAGAGAGGGUUGUGGAAUUCCCAGUGUAGAGGUGAAAUUCGUAGAUAUUGGGAAGAACACCGGUGGCGAAGGCGGCAACCUGGCUCAUGACUGACGCUGAGGCGCGAAAGCGUGGGGAGCAAACAGGAUUAGAUACCCUGGUAGUCCACGCUGUAAACGAUGUGUGCUAGAUGUUGGGUAACUUUGUUAUUCAGUGUCGCAGUUAACGCGUUAAGCACACCGCCUGGGGAGUACGGCCGCAAGGUUGAAAAC